rnacentral:rRNA from 1 species
AAGCUGAGGCCGACAGGCGUAGGCGAUGGAUAACAGGUUGAUAUUCCUGUACCACCUAUAAUCGUUUUAAUCGAUGGGGGGACGCAGUAGGAUAGGCGAAGCGUGCGAUUGGAUUGCACGUCUAAGCAGUAAGGCUGAGUAUUAGGCAAAUCCGGUACUCGUUAAGGCUGAGCUGUGAUGGGGAGAAGACAUUGUGUCUUCGAGUCGUUGAUUUCACACUGCCGAGAAAAGCCUCUAGAUAGAAAAUAGGUGCCCGUACCGCAAACCGACACAGGUAGUCAAGAUGAGAAUUCUAAGGUGAGCGAGCGAACUCUCGUUAAGGAACUCGGCAAAAUGACCCCGUAACUUCGGGAGAAGGGGUGCUCUUUAGGGUUAACGCCCAGAAGAGCCGCAGUGAAUAGGCCCAAGCGACUGUUUAUCAAAAACACAGCUCUCUGCUAAAU